UAGGGAAUAUUGCUCAAUGGGCGAAAGCCUGAAGCAGCAACGCCGCGUGUGCGAUGAAGGUCUUCGGAUCGUAAAGCACUUUUCUGCGAGAUGAGAAAGGACAGUAUCGUAGGAAUAAGUCUCGGCUAACUACGUGCCAGCAGCCGCGGUAACACGUAGGAGGCGAGCGUUAUCCGGAUUCACUGGGCGUAAAGCGCGUGCAGGCGGUUUGGUAAGUUGGGCGUGAAAGCUCCCGGCUCAACUGGGAGAGGUCGUUCAAUACUACCGAACUAGAGAGUAGAAGAGGAAGAUGGAAUUCCCGGUGUAGUGGUGAAAUGCGUAGAUAUCGGGAGGAACACCAGUGGCGAAGGCGAUCUUCUGGUCUAUUUCUGACGCUCAGACGCGACAGCUAGGGUAGUAAACGGGAUUAGAGACCCCGGUAAUCCUAGCCGUAAACGAUGUGAACUUGGCGUUGGUGGGUUAAACUCCAUCAGUGCCGAAGCAAACGCGAUAAGUU
rnacentral:rRNA from 1 species